CAACAGAGCAAGGACUCGCUGAUCGCC
rnacentral:piRNA from 1 species